GACGAACGCUGGCGGCGUGCUUAACACAUGCAAGUCGAACGCUGAAGCUCAGCUUUUGUUGGGUGGAUGAGUGGCGAACGGGUGAGUAACACGUGAGUAACCUGCCUCCUUCUUUGGGAUAACGCCCGGAAACGGGUGCUAAUACUGGAUAUUCACUGGUCUUCGCAUGGGGGUUGGUGGAAAGGGUUUUUCUGGUGGGGGAUGGGCUCGCGGCCUAUCAGCUUGUUGGUGGGGUGAUGGCCUACCAAGGCUUUGACGGGUAGCCGGCCUGAGAGGGUGAACGGUAACAUUGGGACGGAGAUACGGCCCAGACUCGUACGGGAGGCAGCAGUGGGGAAUAUUGCACAAUGGGCGCAAGACUGAUGCAGCGACGCCGCGUGAGGGAUGGAGGCCUUCGGGUUGUGAACCUCUUUCGCUCAUGGUCAAGCCGCAACAAUGGUUGUGGUGAGGGUAGUGGGUAAAGAAGCGCCGGCUAACUACGUG
rnacentral:rRNA from 1 species